ensembl:snoRNA
CAGACAUUGGAGGAUGAAAAUAUGGAGUGAUCCAUGGUUUCAGUUGACAAUAUAUAAUGGUUUACUGCUGUCACUGUCCA